AAGGUGGGGAUGACGUCAAGUCAGCAUGCCCCUUACGUCUGGGCUACACACGUACUACAAUGCUGCGGACAAAGGGUUGCAAGCUCGCGAGAGCAAGCUAAUCCCAUAAACCGUGGCUCAGUUCAGAUUGCAGGCUGCAACUCGCCUGCAUGAAGGAGGAAUCGCUAGUAAUCGCAGGUCAGCAUACUGCGGUGAAUACGUUCCCGGGCCUUGUACACACCGCCCGUCACACCAUGGGAGUUGGCCACGCCCGAAGUCGUUACUCCAACCCUCGGGAGGAGGACGCCGAAGGCAGGGCUGAUGACUGGGGUGAAGUCGUAACAAGGUAGCCGUACCGGAAGGUGUGGCUGGAUCACCUCCUUUAAGGGAGACCUACCCACUCUAGAGUCGAACGCACAGUGCAAAUAGGUUCAGAGUUGGUCAUCCCAAGGUCGUUCGGAUUACAGAUGUGGCUUCCAAACUGUUUGGUUCGGUUUAUGGGCUAUUAGCUCAGGUGGUUAGAGCGCACCCCUGAUAAGGGUGAGGUCCCUGGUUCGAGUCCAGGAUGGCCCACCUUUAUAUAUUGACAAGGGGGUUUAGCUCAGUUGGUAGAGCGCCUGCUUUGCAAGCAGGAUGUCAGCGGUUCGAGUCCGCUAACCUCCACUGGGCGACAUCGAUACUAAGCAACAUUGAUACCAAGCGACAUCGAGUUGUAAUGAUUCGCUAGUCAGCUAGUCAAACGGUCAGCGAGUUAAACAACGAGUUAAGCCACUGGUUAAACCAACUCAGUAAUUCAGCAACUCAUCUUGCACUUCGUAUUGAAGACAAGCAAGAGAGCCUGCUGGAUUAUGUCCAGCCAGAACCUUGAAAACUGCAUAGAAAAUUGUCAGGUAGCAGACAGCUAAAGUUGACGGAAGAGUAACAGCUUGCCGUCAGUGAAAGUUGUCACUAUCACAGACACCACAUGUAGAGCGAAGACAAAAGCGCACAAGAG
rnacentral:sRNA from 1 species